rnacentral:lncRNA from 1 species
CUAGCUAGGGGUUAACUUGAAGUUCACAUGAAUACCGGUUAGAAUGAUGAUGACGUUUUCACUUGCAAGUGAAUCAGUCAAAAAUUAUGUUUAAUCGCUUAUUUCAACAAAAUUAAAGGAAAUUGAUUGCUAAAAGCAAAUUAUUAUUUCAUUAUUCCAAUUUGAUUAAUGAUUGAUCUAAAAAAAAUCAUACUUUAUUUUUUUUUAUAUAUCGUAGCUAGUGCCCC